GUGCGAGUGACUCGCCGGCGGCGGAGGCCCGGGCCCGUGGAGAGCAGAGGCCAGAUCUGCGCUCAGCGGGCUGUAAAAAAAUGCUUAGACCAACAGAAGAAAACUACUGGACGUUUUCCAUAUUCUGCAUUAAAGAAAAUGUUGGCAGCACCCAAAUGUUCUAAAGAAGCAGCAGCGGACACUGUCCUGAGAACACAUGGGAACUAUGAAAGCAGCUGUAGCAGUGAGGUAGGAAAGACACUUGGGAUAGGUUCCCCAUCCGCAAACCACUGCACAGGGUCCCAUUGAACCAUACCUUCAGGAGGCCCUCAAUAAGACAGAAACUAGGCCAGGCUGUCUCCCACCUCCAAAUCCUCCCCAGAACUGUUAUUUGAACCCAGUUAACAUUCCUCCCACAUGGCGAUGUCAUGACAUCAAGCUUGCUACAAAGCUGUAGAUGUGCAGAACCACAGUUACACCAACUCUACUGUACAGAAGUGAAAUGUGGGCACAGAGGAGGGCUGAAGAACCCCAGAUGGAUGAUUCUUGUCAUUUUCAUCAGCUGCUCCACAUCAAGUGGCAGGACAGGAUUAGAAAUGAGGAUAUUCAAAACCGAACUCAGCAACUGCCUUAAUCAGCACUGGUUUGGUUUUAGAGGUUUUCUUGGGGUGGACAUAUUAUUAGAAUGACAGACCAAUGAAUUUCAAAGCAUGUGUACCAAGGAAUGU